CACACCGCUCUCUUCCUGUUUCUUAACAUUAGGUUUAAUAAUAAAUAAAUUAAUUAUUAAGUUCAAUGGCAUCAACAAAAAUAUUACUGGUGGCUACUCUAGUCGACUGUGAAAUAUAUACACUUGGUUAUUUUCACGUAGAAUCGGCCAUCUUUUUUUAAAAUGUGAUGCAUGAUAGCUGGGACAGCCUGUAUACCAUCAAGCUCAGUUUACGACCCUUCAGUACAAUCUUCUAGUUAGCGGCAUAGUCUGAAAAUUACAUUAAAAAAAAAAAAGCUGCAGGCAGUGUGUUAUUAUUCUUUUUAUUCUUUCCUAUCAUCAGCUUAUCAGAAAAGAAAGAACUGUGGUCUAUUCCAUGUUGUCAUGCCGAUGACAUGCAUUUUUUGUGUGGUGGUUGUAAUCUUGGUGUGCCUGACAUUACCAAAUUACUUUGUUUCAGGACUUCCAGAAGACCCAUUUGAUGCAUUUGAUUGAAGAAACUGGAAGCAGCUACUGUUCUGCUACCAUUUCAUCACUGAUAAAAAUUGUCCUCAGAACUGUUCAUGUCUUGCCACACAUGCAUGAAGUUUGUUUAGACUGUUGACUGUUCAUGAUGUUUUAGUUCCUGUGUAUAUUUGCUUCUGGUAUGUCUGGACCUUAGUAUGUGCAAUUCUGAAAACUUUACACAUGGCAAUAGACUUUCUAAUGAGCAACUAUACAGGUCAGUGUGCUGUGUUCCCGUCACACUGUUAAAAUACCUUCUGUAGGAUUGCUGAUGAUCAAAGUCACCACUGGCUGGUUUUCUCGCAUUCAAAAAUAAAGCAUGCUCACAAGCACAUAUUCUACUGUAUAUUUUGGAUUAAUAUCUUAUGUGAGUUCUUCCGAGUUCAUUUUGAAAAGGAUCAAAGGUAAGGUACUUGGUUGGGUACCGAGGAAUCGAGAAGGGUAUUACUGCAGCUUAUUUCAAGAUGUCUAGUUGGCCUCAUUUGCAUAGACAAUGCUGGAACACUGUAGAGACCGAGGCAAACUCUCGUGCUCAAGCUUUCGAGAAUCCUGAAGUUUGAUGGCAUCAGACAAUGCAGCCAGGGCUAGGUACCGCUGCUUGUGCUUCUUAUGGCUUUGUAGCUUGUUUCGAAGGCCGUACCUGUUAUGACACUAGCCGACUUGAGGAUUAAUUUGAUUGUAUUAAAGAGAUGUGUUGCUUUCUUGGCAGCCUGCUUUUCAUUAAAUAUGAGACUAAGGCUGCACAUGCUACAAUUUGGCACUUGUUUUAUAGCACAGAAUGUAUUGUAUCAGUGGCUCUGUGCUUGUGUGUAAUGAUGCUGCACAAAGUUUAGGAACUUAGAAAGUGAACAUGAAUGUUUGCACAGAAAACUGUGUGCUGAGGUUCUCUUUAUGCCAUUUGCUACAGUUUUCUGCCUAUUCCUUCACGAUAUAUUUGCUGAACAUAAAAGUAAGCGGAUCUUUUGCACAUUUAUGAUACAUGAACAAGCAACUAUUUUUGCAGCAAUGUAAUGAGCACUUGUAAAUGGGGACAAAAGGAAGCUAUGUGCAGUUAAGAUAGUAGCGACUUCUUUUCUUUCGUGAGCAGACCUCUUGCAAGAAAACAAUUUUCUUUGUUGUUUAACUUAUUCAAAAAUUGUCAGUAGCCCACGUAUGAAACUACAUGUUAUUACUGUGUUGGCCCAAGAUGUCAGUGUUCUGUACCACUGUGUACCAUUUCUCAGAUAACGAGCAAUGCUGCAGUAUACAAAUCAAGAUAUAACACUCAGUCUGAAAACUUAGACCAACAGUACAUUGGUUGUAUCUUUCUAAUAACUAAUAUGACUCUUGUUUGCCAGUUUAGCACUAUUUCUGUUGUUUAAUGGCUGUUGUUAGCUUGUUGGUGUGUAAGUUAUUUGGCAUCAUUUACUGGCAAAGUAAAUUAUAAGUAGUCGAGUUCAGCACAAUCUCAUUCAUUGAGAAACAUGCUUGUAUAUAUGAAACUUUUGUUCAGGGUGUUGUAUGUAUAACCACUUUUGUUUGUGAAACACCAGAACACCGGUUGGCAACCUUACCAGUGGCGACACUUAGUGAUGUUUUGUUCAACCACAACUUGUUUGGAAGCUUCUUGUCUUGCAUGAAUGUUCUCAGACUAGGGCGCGAUCUUGUACGCAUUCCAAAAUGGAACGGAGGCGGUCCGUUCCAUCGAGCCGCACACGAUUGGUCAAUUUGAACCGUGACGAUCAAAUUGACCACACUUCUUUAGAAACUUGUAGUGCACGAAUGUUCUCAGUGACACCUAGUAGCGUAUUGUUCAACCCCAAAUUUUUAGAAACUUUCUUGUGUUGCACAAAUGUUCUCCCCCAAAAGAAAGAGUUACUAUAUGUCAAAGAUUAUUGCUGCCUACGUCCUUACAACAGCAGCUAAGUAAAACAUAGUCAUUGUAAAUUUAGUUUUGUAUGCAUUCUACUUGAACUCAGCAUCACGAGCUAGCACUACUGGUGCUCCACAUUAACAGUAAUAGUUCAUGGACAGGCUAAAACUAGUAUCUUUUCUCUUUGCAUAAGUGCUUUGUGCAGGGCUUCUCAGUACUUUUUCUUCUGCAAAGAGGCAACAGUAAAAAGAAAAAAAAAAGACAUCUGGCUCCUUGUCAUACCUGAUUGAUUAGUGCCUUGCCCUUGUUCUGUUUCGCAUCAGGACGUGCCAGCCAGGACUGGCAUCUUCAGCUGAACUCCCACUUCCUGCGGCCGAACCAGUUCCGGUGCCACCGGUGCUCCCGGAUGUUCACGCGGCGCAGCAGCCUCGAGCGGCACGCGCUCAUCCACACCGGGGAUCGACCCUUCAGGUGCCUCUACUGCGGUGCCUCGUUUGCCCUCAAGCAGACCCUCUCGCGGCACAUCCUGACACACACGGGUGAGAAACCGCACAAGUGCGACUUCUGCCUGCGCACCUUCAUCCAGAGGUCGAUCCUGGUGCGACACCGCAAGAAGCAUCUCCAAGAGCAGGGCAUCGCCGUCAGCUGAGGAGCAGACGCUUCAGCGUCUUCGCGUGGACACUUGACUGCCACAAUGCCUGUUCUAGCAUUGCCCUCAGAGGCAGUGCACUGCUGUCAGAGAAGGAACUGGUGCUUCAGCACCUUACCUGAAACUUUUGACUACUGCUGGAGUGUUCCCGAGGAAUCUUCAAGAGCUAGGCAUCACCGUCAGCUGAAGUACAGAUGCUUCAGAGCCUUCACCACUUGACCGGCACACGGUCUACUCUGGUAGUGCAUUGCCAUCAAUGAAGAGAUGGACGGUCCAGCAUAAUUCCUCAAACACUUUACCAUGGCUGGUGUGUUCUAGUGGCAUCUUUAAGAACAGGGCAUUGCCGUCAAGUGACGGAUGGAUGCUGCACUGAUUUCUCUUCUGAUACUUGGCUAUCACUCGAUAUCCCGAGUGGUAUAUAGCUGCAUGUCCUGGACAGGCACGGUAUCUGCAGAAAGCAUCAACAGGCCAACGUGUGUAUGGCUGGACCUGACAGCAGCUGCCGGUGGCAUAAUCUCCUGAAUUUGGAGGCUUGUUUUUAUUGCUAGAAUUUUAUUGUGCGGGUCAAUCACCUCAUACAUACACUCAAGCCACUGCUGGUGCCGCUCGUGCUCUGCUUUGAACUGUCUCUGGCACACGGAAAUGUCGGCCACUGCUGGCCAGUCAUAUUCCAUAGCUCGAAGUGUUCCCAUCAUGGUGUCUUGUCCAGGCAUGCCAUCUCAGGGCACAUUUUUACGCACACAGAUAGCAGGUCACAAAUUUGAAGCCUCUGCUGGCAAACGAUCAUUUGAUGGGCUCAUGAAAAUCCUGUGUGGUACUGCAAGGAAUGCUGCCAGGAUUUGGCAUUAUCUCUGCCGACUAAGGGACAGAGUCUGCAACCUACUUAGCUGGCGUGCUCUUUAGUGACUUUUAUCAGCUGGGCACUUAACCGUAACAGUGCAGCAAUGCGUGUUCAACUCCGAGAAGUGGUAGCAGAAAGCGUAUGUAUAGGCGAUGUCUUGAUGCAAGCAGUGCUGCACUACCUUGGCAUGUCACGCAGGCUCAGUGUGCUGCGGCCCAACAGGUAUCCCGGCAUCGUUUCUGCAUGCCUGUUGUGAAAACCUGUGAAAUGGCCGGUGUCUGAUGUUACAUGUCCACGGCAACUCUUAAUGUUGUCUUAACUGUAUUUGUAAUGUAUGUGGGGGCCUCGUAGCACAGUGCAGUGGUUUUGCAGAUGCGUGAUAGGGAAUUUAUGCAUUAUUUUAAUGUCUGCAAGAUUAGAGUACAGCCAUUUGUCAACAAUUUUUGCUUAUGUUGCGAAGGCGCACUUAGGUCAACUGUGCAGUGCCAUGUGUUUGCAGCAUGUACUUCAGCACAGCCCAGCAGUGGCAAUGUUGCUCAUGUGAACAAGUGGUUGUUAAGCUUAUGCAAAUCUAGGUGAGGUAGGCCAAGAAUAAGGCACAGAAGAUUUCAGUCAUGGCAAAAGUGCUGUUGCAUUUUAUAAUUAAUGAUGUUGCCAUUAUCUGAUUAAUGAAAACUUCAAUUAUAGAGCUAGUGUGUCUGCUACGGGGUGUGCGAAUCCUGAUUUUCGAAACAGAAUCAAAUAGUGCCAGAAGCGAGUCAAAGCAAAUUGAAUAUCAAAUAGUUAUUUAAUAAUGAGCAGCCAUUAUCGUAAUUAAUAUAAAACAACAUUCACAUCCUAGUAUUCUUAAAGCUGGCAAAUUUCUGCCAUUAAAUAGUGCAUUAUGAAGCAUUGUUUACUAAAAGCAUGAGUGGAGCAUUAGGAGCAAACAAGUAAUUUCCUUGCAUGCACAAGACUCCAUUUUAGUAGCCAGCUCCACUAUGCAAGUUAUCAUGUUAUACUAUGCCCGCGGGAGUGAACAUUUACCGUACUUCUCCAAUUUUAUGUUUAAUUGGGUGCAGUUCAUGUUUUGAAAUAUUUUAAAUGUGUUAGAAAAAUAUUUGCAUUGCAUUUAUGAAUAGUGGCUAUUCGAUUCGAAGAUCCGUUAUUCGAAAGCUUUAAAUAUUCGCACACCUCUAGUGUCUGCUGCUGUAAUGGGCUGCUUACUUUGAACAUGUGGAACAGAGGUACGGGCAGAUGUGUGAAGCCCUACCACAGGGAGGCAUGGCGUGCAUGUCUGGCUGCAUGUCUGCAUCAGCUUGUUCACCUCGAACCAAUGUUAUUCUGAACAAUCAGGGCUCCCCCAUGAGACAUCGUCAAAUAUUAGCGUGAUAGUGUUAAGGGCCCCGUGUCGCAGGAAAUCGGGCACCGUAGCCGGCGUUGGCGUGCAGUGAGCGAAAAUUGCCAUAUAUAUUCUAUACGGCACUAAAGUUAUUCUAUCACUAAAGUUGCUCAUAGCUUGUCUUACAUUCUUUACAGAGUUAUUCCUCGGAAUUUUUAGAAUGACAGACCACAAACAAAUGUCAUGAAACAAAACAACGAUAGCCUAUGCCUUUUGUGUUAGACCUUCUCAGACUGAAAUAUUAAAAUUGCGAAACAAUAACAGAACAUCGGCCCACGCAAGAGGCCGUGUUUCUACCAGAAAGCUCGUCCUUGUGCAUAGCGUUUGCCGUCAGCGUUUCCCAGUAAACACUACGGUUACAUAAGCUGCAGUUGCCGGGAAGCAUGAGAAGCAGUCGGGGAUCUUUGAAUGCUAUCGCGUUCCACUCUUAAAAGCGAAGCUUAAGCAUCCUCCAAAUUUUGUUAUACAUCUACAUCUUUUGAUUAGUGUUUACUUUUGUGUGCUUCUGCAACAAGUCAGAUUUGCAUAGGUCCUGAGACAUGCACAGCCGCCCAAAUCUUUAACUAGCGUGCACGAGCGGCGACUUUCUGUGCGCCAGCACAUUAAAUUAGGACCAAACUUACAAAUGACUAUGCUAUCUGGCUAUGCUCACAAAGCUCGUGAAGAUAGCAUAGUCAUUUGUAACAUAGUCAUCGUGAAAGUAUAUAAUACUAACUUGCCAAACCUACACCCUGCUCUAGGAAAAGAUACUGUGUAAAACAGACAUAAGACAAGGAGAGGCGUGGACUAGUGCGACCUCCUUCGGGGUUGCUGGCCUUUAAGAGGCAUCAUUGCUGCUGCUGGGAGUUGCUGUACACGAGCACUGAAAUGGUAAACACCUCCGAGGUACACUUUGCAGCCUCAGUGCUCGUCUAGCUGAGGGUAUACUUUCGUUUACAGUGUUAUAGGCAGCCAGUGUUGAAUUUUUCUAUCUUUGUGUAGGGCACAUAGUAUGCGUCGCAUAUGGUUAGGAACCACAAACAGCUGUUGUUGCACCCUAAUCACGAAUGCAAGCUUCUGCUCACAAUGCUGCCAUUAAUGUUGAUGCUGCGCAGCAUAUUCAAGCCACAGCACGAGUCACAGAAGUCCAAUUGAUCUGAGGCUAGAGUAAUAUUCCUCCAUUGUUCAUCUUUGGCGAUACAAUUGCUUUCGCAAGAUUUUGCGUAGCUAGCACCAGACAGGUUGGCAUCUCCAGGUGAUAGCCUUCUUGGCACUCUGCCAGGAAUGCUGGUGCUUGUAGAUGCCGACACCAUCAGUGCUAGUCAUGUCAAAUCUCGCGAAAGUGAACUAGUACUGAGAGUACCUCCUCCGGAUACUGAUGCUCUGAGACUAAAAGCAACUUUGCCAGUGCAUUCCUGCAUAGCUUUCAACUGGCAUGGAGGUAUUCUGUUGUGCCUCUACUACCACCGUAUUCACUUCAUGGCAUGCAAACUCUAGUGUCGCUCAAACAACUUUGUGGCCAAACGUGGCAGAUUUCCCGCAAGCAUGCUUUAGACAAUUGUCACUUUAUCCAAAAUUUGACAUUUUUAAAAUGUUUGUUGCAAUCUGAUCCGGGGCAGAAUGGCAGUAGAGUCCACUUUGCAUGCAAGUCCAGGAAUGGGAGAUACCGACAACCUGUGCCCCUAGCGACCAUAGCCACUUACUGUAUGUCAUGACAUUCAGCUUGCAGAUAUGUUAUGCAUGUUUCACUGACAUCCGAUCAGAGGGGACACAUGGCUAAAGUCGAAGGAAUAGAUAUUGUGGGACAAAUUGUCGCAGGUCACUAAAUGGAGCAUUAUGUUACAAGCUAUGUAUCAUGCCCAGCUGCUAAAAAGAAAGAAAAAAUUGCUGCAUGUGCCAAAAAGUUGAGCCCUUAUCUUAUCCAACUUAUCUGACAUUCUUAUGUAGAAAUACCAUGUGCUCAGAAAUGAGAAGGUCAUGGUGACACUUCUUAUAAACAAACAUCUCUUGGGGCUUCAAGCAAAUGCUAGUAGACUAAAUAUGUAAAUUCCUCACUCUAAAUGUUGCUGAUAGCAAUGAAAGUACAUUUUUAGCACAACCACAUUGUUACACUCAUAAAAAAAGCACUCUGAACUCGCAAAGUUUGAACAUUUUAUCUGUAUUAUGUGUUGAGGUACUUGUGGUAAUCUUUUUCUUUUUUAAUUCUUUGGCAGUUAAUAGCAAUGAAUAAUGUGUGCAGACAGCAAAAAUAUGGUGAAACAGAAACCUGAUUAUCAUAAAGUAUGCUUCGCUUGGCAUGUGACAAAAACCAAUUUCGAGCUGCGCGGCCCAGUUCCUGUCACAUUUGAAGUGCUACAAAGCUGUGAACCCAGAUACCAGAACAACUCGUUUCCUUUGAUUCAAUUCCUUUUCAAUGAUCGACUGCACAGACAGUGAUAACGGCAGUACAGUGGCAGACGAAUCGGUGACAGAGGAAGUUGUCGUUCACCAGAACAUGGCAUUAUGCAAGCUACUAAGAAACACGUAUUUGGUUCCUCAGAAAGGAAGCUUCCCUGCUGAAUUAAAGUUCACCCUCCACAUCUUCUUCAAUUCUAAUCCUUUUCUGAUUAUGUGUUGUGCCAAGUUGCUUAUCCUGGCGAUAACAAUCAUGGGAGUGGUAUGGGAACCAUUGACUAGAGGUAACGCGAAGAGCAAAGGAAAAUUGUUAGAAGAUAUGGCCCCCAGUCUAGGAAUUCAAUCUGGCAAUAAAAAAUACAGAAAGAGGUCCCAUAGUCGAUGACUGUAUUCGGACCUCCUGCCAAGUGAACCAACCAAGAGGCUAAACAGGCAGCUAGCUGUUAAUCAGAUGGGAGGAAGGAAGGUAAAUAUUUAUUUGGUCCUGCAAGUUGUGAGUUGCCUCACAAAGUGGGCUGCUCCCACGUUGGGACCGGCAGGCAGAGCCUUUUGGCCACGUCGUGGGCUUGCUGGAUGGCCCAUAGUUGCUCGUUCAGGUCCGGGCUCCGAAUCGCUGCCUUUAGCCUGUCCCGAUCCUUGGCAAAAUUUUCGUUGGUGCGGAUGCAUGAUCAUGGUGCUUGACUUCCUUAAACUACACAGUAGGUUACGAGGCACGCGGCCGAGAGUCGUAACCCCUGACCUCGAGCUCGGGGGUGUAAUCUUGUAGCGGUGCAGAAGGCAAACCGUUCGCUUGCCCUCGUGUGAUCGCUUAUAAUCGGAACCGAGAAAGUUGAAACAUUCACGAAAGGGCUUCAAAAAGAGUAAAAGUGAAACAAAAUCGUUUGCACUGUUUUCAGUUUUGAGUGAACAACGAAUGACGAGACUUUUUUUUUUUUUUCGCUCACUCUCCGAAAUUCUGGGUGGAGCGCUGUGAAUGAAAUCCGAAGCCCAGUACAUGGCUCAGCGCAGCGUCUCGUCCUAGAUUUGAGCGAGCCAUCCAUAAUUUUGAUUGGAGGUGGAUGUACAGGGCCAGGACAAUGCAACGAUUACAUUCCAAUUAUUUUCGUUUUGUUGCUUCAUCAGUACUCCAAGCGGCACUCCACUCAUGUUAUCACCAGGAUGGGCUAGUAAUCAGCAUUGGAUGAUAAAUGAACAGAACAAAGUGAAAGAAAACCUUACGUUGUAACCGUUCAGAACUUGCAAAUGUUGAUGACAUUGUCUAAAUUCAGAGGUGGUCUGCUGUUUUAGUGACGGCAAUAUGAAUGCGCGUGUGGAUGAACAACCAGGCCAGUCUUUAUAGAUAAUGCAUGUCAUUUGCAGAUAAUGCCAAUGUUUGUCACAAGGCAGAGCCCAGUAUAUUGGAAGCUGCCUACUCGGUUGUUUGUAUAUAAGGAAAAAGCAAAGGGCUAUUUUCUCCAAGGCUGCAGUAUCCCUGGUCGGUUCGGCGAGCCUGAUUUGCAAACUGACGAAACACACUACAAUGCAGUGUUAACAAUAAUCCUCUUUUCUUUGCACUUACGUUAUCAUACUCCAAGAGCUGCUUACUCUGGUUUCAUUUGUCGGAAACCAGUAGCUACGUUUUAGCAUUGUGUUGUGUUUGGUGUGUGCGUGUGGCAAGAGUUGAAGCAAGUUUUUUAGUUUUUGUUUUUUUUCGUUACUUGAGAAUCUGCUUAACUGAUGAUGUGAUGCAAGUACCUUACAGUUAAAUACACUUAUUCCAUAAUUUUGUGCCAACGAAUUGCAGCAGUGGAUAUGUUUUGUUGUGGCAGCCGGACUUAAAUAGUUUUUUCUCUUUGGCAGAAAAAAUACUGUAGGCUUUUGUUUGUGAGAUGCGACCAUAGGAGUCUUUAUCAAGAAAGCUGGAAGAUUCUGUUGUGGCAGCUGACGUUAAAAAGUAAAGAAACGCCAUCUUGUUGCAGCUUGGCCUUAAAAGCCUAAUGGCAGCUACUUGUUAGUCCUUCAAACUUGGAUUAUUAUUUAUUUGUUAUUUAUGUUUUUGGUUCCGCAUUUACUCCACUUGCCAAAACAGAACAAAGUAUUUCUGAGUUUUGCUGAUAGUUAUGUCUAGCAAACACUAUUUCCGAGUGAUCAAAUGCUGCUGGGAAGUUGUGAAAUUAAAUGUCUCUUACAAUAAUUUGUGUUCUUUUACUUGUUAUUUAAUACUCAGCCUUAUCAUGUUUAGCUGAAAAAAGCGCAGGCCAAAGGCUUCGUUUAUGUAUAUUGUGCUUUCAUUUACUUUAUUCUGCUGACAAUCUUUGUUUGUCUGUUUUAGAGAACAUUGUUACGUUCCAAGUUUGUAUAGACACUUUUGGUCAAGUAUGUCCUAAAGAUGCAACUGAGAACCUCAGAUUUAUUUUUAACAUUAGCUAUUGGCAACAUUUCUCGGCAGAAAACGCACUCAAACUUUGACUUCCUGACAAAGUGCCACACCUUUACAGGUACACUUAUCUUUACUAGCACAUUUCUUUAUGCGUGCAUUCUUCUGUGACAACGAGCAUUGCCGAGAAAGUUUGUCGAAGUGCAUGUCUGUGAGUUCCGUGCUUUACCUUUUCCAGUUUUGCCGUUAUCACUGUUCUUAACUAAAUGCGGGACUAAACAUUGUGCCGUGAACAUUAGAUGUUUUAUUACUGACUUACAACUCACUCGCACUGAAUGAUGUAAGUGGAACUUGUGUUGCAGUUACACGUUGAAGUAAUAAAUUUGCACUGUGAA